rnacentral:rRNA from 1 species
GAUGAACGCUGGCGGCGUGCCUAAUACAUGCAAGUCGAGCGAACGGACGAGAAGCUUGCUUCUCUGAUGUUAGCGGCGGACGGGUGAGUAACACGUGGAUAACCUACCUAUAAGACUGGGAUAACUUCGGGAAACCGGAGCUAAUACCGGAUAAUAUUUUGAACCGCAUGGUUCAAAAGUAAAAGACGGUCUUGCUGUCACUUAUAGAUGGAUCCGCGCUGCAUUAGCUAGUUGGUAAGGUAACGGCUUACCAAGGCAACGAUGCAUAGCCGACCUGAGAGGGUGAUCGGCCCCACUUGAACUGGACCAGGGUCCAGACUCCUACGGGAGGCAGCAGUAGGGAAUCUUCCGCAAUGGGCGAAAGCCUGACGGAGCAAUGCCGCGUGAGUGAUGAAGGUCUUCGGAUCGUAAAACUCUGUUAUUAGGGAAGAACAUAUGUGUAAGUAACUGUGCACAUCUUGACGGUACCUAAUCAGAAAGCCACGGCUAACUACGUG